rnacentral:lncRNA from 1 species
AUGGGAAAGCACAUGUACAUCCAGUCGGGACUCAUGCAUUUCCCAACAGAGAGAGAGAGGGAGAGUUACAGCAAACUGGUGCGAUACUACUCUAUGAUCAAUUUUACAGAUGUGAUGAAGUACCGAGGAUCAAGGAGGCAAUUGCAAAUUGCACAGAAGCCUAAACUAUGGUUUGGAGGAAUUCUUGGAGGAUGCUGGAAGGAUUGUAAAGCAAUAAAUUAUUCCUCCAAGCUCUACUCUGAAACAAGACAUUUACAAAGUAGACAAUGUGGAGAUCUGUUAGGCAUUUAGCUCUCUAACAGUUGGAGCAUACCAUAAAGCUAAAACCAGAUCUGUGAAAAGAACCACAGGAGUUUCCAGCUUUAUUUGAUUCGGAGAACCAGAUGAAAAUUUCCUUUACAAAUACAGUACAUUUGGGCCUUCAGCUAUAGUGAGCUAACACUGGAGAAUGAUAGUUUAUCAUUCACAGCAGUGAAAAAGGAGGUCAUACAGGGAUCACCCCUCCAAAGACAUAAACAUAAGACUUUUCUCACAAGCUGUCAAACUUCAAUUGUUGGUGAGAUCUGUUGUGUCAGUGUUUCAUAAUAAUUGCUUCUAAGUCUUGUUAAAGGUCUAAAACAAAUUACCUGAGUGACAUGCUUUUGGCACCAGUAAAGGAACAAUGUGGGGAAUGCACAUUGUGUAGCAGACUUGCCUAUUACAAUUUUGUUUGAGUUUAUUGCAGCAAUUUUACCAUUACUUCCCAUUAUUUGAAAUACCGUAAUAAGAGUUGCAAGUUUUCUCAUGCUCACAAGGAAACAUUUGUUCCCUGGAUAAUAGACUAGCUGGCCAACAUAAGCUCAUUCAAAACAAUAAACUUUUUUUUUUUUUUAAGAGGUAUUCCA